GGUCUUGUAGCUCAGAUGGUUAGAGCGUUGGCUGUACCCAAGCUUUUCCAUUGCUGUUGUGCGUUCGAAUCCCACCAACGCCA
rnacentral:tRNA from 1 species